UACGUAGGGGGCAAGCGUUGUCCGGAUUUAUUGGGCGUAAAGAGCGUGUAGGCGGCCAGAUAGGUCCGUUGUGAAAACUGGAGGCUUAACCUCCAGCGGUCGAUGGAAACCAUUUGGCUAGAGUCCGGAAGAGGAGAGUGGAAUUCCUGGUGUAGCGGUGAAAUGCGCAGAUAUCAGGAAGAACACCCGUGGCGAAGGCGGCUCUCUGGGACGGUACUGACGGCUGAGGCACGAAAGCGUGGGGAGCAAACAGG
rnacentral:rRNA from 1 species